AUGGACAGAUUUGCACAGUGUUUGCCGUGGGAGAGCUCCUCAUUUACAUCAAUUAUGGAUAGUCAACUUCCAUCCUUGUGGCCUGGCGCUGCAUAUUUCAUGGAGAGGGGGGUAUUUUAUGAGUUAAUGUGUCCAGUUGACAUGCCUCUGAAAGCACUGGCCUGUCCCUUACACCGUGUGCUGGGCUGGGGAGAGCACGCAAACACAAAUCUUGUGAGCCUGUGCGUGUGUGUGUGUGUCGAGGUAACUCUGUGUAAGAGCUGGUGUACAGGGGUAUUGUGAUUACUCAUUGACCCUCACACCCACACUUUCAGUUGGGGGGAAUAAAUGUGGAUGUUACUGGAUGUUACUAAAAUGCAAAAAAAAAAGGUUUGGUUGAUCAGUUCACUGUAUCAUUGUGGAAGCUAAACAUACUAUGUGUUUACAGUGACAUGAGUAUUGUUAGAAGUACUAGUGAAAACAGCACCAUCUGUGGUAUUUGCUAUAAUACUUGUAUCAGUAAUAGUGUGAGAUUGUUGUUGUUGUUGUUGUUGUUGUUGUUAUGGGUGGAUUGAAGUAUCUUCCCAUUCUUAAUCCCAGCACAAGAGUCUCUCAGCACCACGCAGGCUCCCUUAGGUGUUCGGGGCGGGGGCACAAUGCCACUAAAAGAGAGAGAGAGAGAGAGAGUGAGAGAGAAUUGCAUUGUGGUACUCUGAGUGUGACGCUUUGCCUUCACAGACAAAUCGAUUAGAGACAGUUCAGCACCAUGGAUGCUCGAGGCGUUUCACAUAAAGAAAGAAAGGGAGAGGGAGAGGGAAGGCGGGAGGGAGGGAGGCUGCAGAAACUGGCCCAUCCCCGGCUCAUUUUAAGGGGGACGGGAGCGCCGGUAAGAGCAUGCAGACUUGCAAAACUGCUGCUUACACACUUGGACAGUGAUGCAUUGUCUAUUGUUCUGCCUCUAAAUGAACGCUCCUCCGCGAUGUGACAUCAGUGUUAUUCACAAAGACGUACUGCUUCAAUAAGAAACAUGAGUUAGCGUUGCUCAGGUUUCCUUCACGAGAGGGUUUUUUUUUUUUCAAUAGUCGAAGGCAGUUAUGAAAUAUCACGAUGACAGCUACUGACUGAGCACACAUUACGCUUUUGUUACACAAUGUGCUAGGUUAGUAUUAGGUUUCAGCACAGAGCCCGAUCCCCGCUAAUGUCACUUUACAUUAUAACAUUCAAGGCAUCCAAAGGAGCUGAGAUUGGAAGCUGAGCCCUGGAAACAGUAGUUGGCAAAAGGAUCCCUACAUGAGGUCCAUUUAAAAGCUGUUCUAGAUCUUUCGAUUGAAUAACACUUCUUCCUCAGUGGACUGACUGGUAAGGAACAUGUGCUCGGAGACAUGGAAAAUGUGAACAUCUGCAUUUCCAUGACAACUGGGAAACAUGGCCGAGAAACAGCUUCUAAAUGGACCUUGUGAUAAUGUUUUUUCUACUUCUGUUCAAGGUCAAGAAUGAACACUCAGUCUCAACUUGUAAGCAAACACGGACAGAAAAAGAUUUGGGCAUUGUGACACCUGACAAACUCCACCUGCCGAAGAACUCCAGAUCUUAAUUUUGGUGUGUUUUCAGAAAUUAUUGGGUAUUCCCCAAUUUUUGCGUCAACUCACCAACCUAAGCUGAGAAUAUCUAGACAAACUGUGAGAGAUCAUGUCCUUUAACACCCCCAUGCUCAGCAAUAACGUUACAUGAACAGUGCAAAUGGAAAUUCUUAUUUAAUAUUUAAAUUUCGAAUUAGCUUUCUGCUUCAAUGUGGUGAGUCAAUGCACUAUGGUCAUCCUCUAACAAAGGGGGUUGCCUGCAGAGAUGACUGCUUGAUAGUUUGUAUUUCAACAAAAACAAGAGGCUACGGUGGACACAAUUUUAUGAUUGUUUUCCUUAAGUAAGAAAGGAAGUCCCCAAAAUGUGACUGUGUAAACUGAUUUAGGUCCCUACAGCAUGAGUU
ensembl:lncRNA